GGCCCCAUUGUUAUGUGAGCCCACCGAAAGGUGGUCAGCUGACGUUCACAUUUAAUCCACUCUUCAUCAAGCAUUCUUUGAGUUAUGGUGUAACUGGGGUGUUGAGAUGACCUUAUUUCUCUCCUUGAUGGCUACUCAACUUUGGUGGAAAACUUUACUAUGAACAUAUACUGUCGCUAUUAUACUGAACUAAUGGGUACAGUUGAUGAUAAUGUAUGGUUGCAUGGAUUGUUAUGAAUUAUGGGUACAGACGAUGAUAACGAACGGUUGCGUGGAGUGUUAUGAACCAUGAGCACAGAUGAUGAUAAUGAAU